rnacentral:rRNA from 1 species
AUUGAACGCUGGCGGCAGGCUUAACACAUGCAAGUCGAGCGGGGGAAGGUAGCUUGCUACCGGACCUAGCGGCGGACGGGUGAGUAAUGCUUAGGAAUCUGCCUAUUAGUGGGGGACAACAUCUCGAAAGGGAUGCUAAUACCGCAUACGUCCUACGGGAGAAAGCAGGGGAUCUUCGGACCUUGCGCUAAUAGAUGAGCCUAAGUCGGAUUAGCUAGUUGGUGGGGUAAAGGCCUACCAAGGCGACGAUCUGUAGCGGGUCUGAGAGGAUGAUCCGCCACAAUGGGACUGGGACACGGCCCAAACUCCUACGGGAGGCAGCAGUGGGGAAUAUUGGACAAUGGGGGGAACCCUGAUCCAGCCAUGCCGCGUGUGUGAAGAAGGCCUUAUGGUUGUAAAGCACUUUAAGCGAGGAGGAGGCUACUCUAGUUAAUACCUAGGGAUAGUGGACGUUACUCGCAGAAUAAGCACCGGCUAACUCUGUGCCAGCCGCCGCCGUAA